UACAUGGACUUUCUUGGACACUCUUGUAAUAUCACGACUAUUUUCUCACGCCUUAUUAGACACACAUUACAUGUAUUUAUAGCCUACGAAAGAACAUUCAAAUCUUUUUAGAAUUUUCAAACUUUAUAAUUUAUUUAAUUAUUUUAUACAUUUUUCUAAAUAAUUCUAAAACGCUCUAUAUAUCAUUUAACUUUUCUAGAAUAUUGUAAUUAGUUUUAAAUUUCUUCGAGAACUUUAGAGAUUUCUCAAAGUAGUUUUUACUUUCAUGUUCAUCCUAUAGAUUCUAUAAGUAUCGCAUGUUGUAUACGGUAAUGACUUUUAACAUAUCCGUGGUGGCAACUACAAACUGCCUGCUGUUUCUCUCCAGCCCUUCAUUGUCGUUCAUUUUCCACUACCGACUCUCACAGGCCCAUUCAUUCGAAUAUCUGUUCUAACACCUACAAACCCUUUUCCGCUUCCAAGAUAUACCCCUCCAUCACUCUCUCCACGUACCCAGUCCCAAAACCCUGUAAUAAAGUUUAUCCCCUUUUCCUUUUGUACUCUAAUUUAUUCACAACUUGAAUUUUUGUUUUAUUUUAGGACCAAACCGUGCAUAUAAGUCUUCGGUGAUUUCAGGGCUGGUAAAUGGAAACUCUGACACUCUGAAACGCACCCAGAAUCUGAAUCAAGCAUUUCAAACUCGUGUGCAGGGUGCCUUCAGAUUCACAAGUUAGUUGAUAAUCUUGGCCUUGUAGAAGUACGACUUACGAGAGGAAAUUAGUACAGACUAGAACAAAGAUGAAGUUUGAACCAUGACUUUGAUUUCGUUAUGCUGUUCUGAUUUUGUUUUGCUAAGUUGGAUGGUGAUUGUAAUUAAAAACUCAUCUUCACAAAUAUAUUAACCAUGAAAGAAUUGAAGAAAUACAAAAAUAAACAAAUACAGAAAGAACAUCACUGUUGAAUCAUUAUCGA